rnacentral:rRNA from 1 species
GAAACUGCCUGAUGGAGGGGGAUAACUACUGGAAACGGUGCUAAUACCGCAUAAUGUCGCAAGACCAAAGAGGGGGACCUUCGGGCCUCUUGCCAUCAGAUGUGCCCAGAUGGGAUUAGCUAGUAGGUGGGGUAACGGCUCACCUAGGCGACGAUCCCUAGCUGGUCUGAGAGGAUGACCAGCCACACUGGAACUGAGACACGGUCCAGACUCCUACGGGAGGCAGCAGUGGGGAAUAUUGCACAAUGGGCGCAAGCCUGAUGCAGCCAUGCCGCGUGUAUGAAGAAGGCCUUCGGGUUGUAAAGUACUUUCAGCGGGGAGGAAGGUGAAGUGGUUAAUAACCGCAGCAAUUGACGUUACCCGCAGAAGAAGCACCGGCUAACUCCGUGCCAGCAGCCGCGGUAAUACGGAGGGUGCAAGCGUUAAUCGGAAUUACUGGGCGUAAAGCUCACGCAGGCGGUCUGUCAAGUCGGAUGUGAAAUCCCCGGGCUCAACCUGGGAACUGCAUUCGAAACUGGCAGGCGGGAGUCUUGUAGAGGGGGGUAGAAUUCCAGGUGUAGCGGUGAAAUGCGUAGAGAUCUGGAGGAAUACCGGUGGCGAAGGCGGCCCCCU